UAGCUUUGGCUUAGUUUUAGCUUACUUUAGCUUUGUUCACUUUGCACCUGAAAUAAAAAGAACCGCAACACAACGAAUGGUGUGAUCGAGUAUUUUCUACCAGUUUCUGCGUGUGAUCGGCGUGUUACAAAUGGCGUAAUCGGCAGGAUUUCAUCACUGCAAGUGCAAGCCCUGGCUUUCUGUGGAGCUUCUAUCACGACAACGUGAUCGGACAUGGACGUCUGGAAACCUGUAAAUAUGGACGUAGAUUUAAGUUGUAGCGAUUGUGUGUAUUGUAUGAAUGUUUGUUGCUAAGCUAGUGUGAAGUUUAGUAAGGAGCUACGUUCUGUCUGUUUAGGGUAAUUUUAUUAAAAUUAUCUUGUAAUGGAAUACUUUAAUGUAUUCAGUUUAAAUUGUUUUGGGGAAAUUAAGGAGUAAUACUAUUCAUAUGUUGUUGAGACUGUCAUGAUAAUACUGUGUUUGGAACAAUCCAUACCCCCUUUCGUAUUUAAUUUCGGCUGGUUGGAUGGAGCCUCAAAUUAAGGGAUGGCAUACAAAGACACCGGUAUUUUAUAUAUUGAUAGGAGGGAUAACAGUACAUGUAGGUGUAGAGCAGGUAUGAAGCUCUAGCUUUAUCACUUAUGAAUAGUUGGAAUAUUCCUUUAUUUGAACUUGUAAAUUGUUGAGAUUUGAAGUUGGGCAUGAUAUUAAAGUUUCGGUAACUUAAGGAUAAGUUAGGUUUAGGUUGUAGUGUAUGUAUAUCACAUUUAUUGAAUUGAUAUGCAUGAUGUAUAUUUGUUAGUUUUAGAGACUGCUUUUGAAAAAGCAGGGGAGCCCAUGAACGUGAAAUGUUGUUUCAGUUUGGGUCAGCAAUUGUUCGGAGUAACUAUGUGCGUGUGUUGUGUAAUGGAUAUUGUAUUGUUUUAUACCGAGAUUUCUGGAAUGUAACUGGGAUUUGGCUGGAAUUACUGUUGGACUUAGCCUGGAUAGUGUAUUUAAUGUUUAUUCCGAAAACCUCGACAUGAGACCGGAAUCAUGCAUGGAAGAAAUACUGGGGCGACUUCUAGGAACAGUAGGGUUUAUCUCUCUAUCUUUGUUUUUCUGUUAACCUCAUAGAGAGGCCGGAAAGGGCACAUUGGUAGCGGAGAGGAUUAGCCAAAAGUUAUAAGAUUUCUUUGUAUAUUGCAUUGUCGAAUUUUUGUAUCUUAGGAGUUUAUUAAGAUAUGCGAAAGGAAUAUCUGUAGGGCAAGGUCGUUACGAAAUAUAGUUGACAGUUUUACUGCUGUAUUUGCUAGAGUGUGUACAUGUACUAUAAGGACGAUUAUUGUUUUUGUGUGUUUAAAAUGAUACUGAGUAGAUUAAUUGGGUAUACCGUGAAAAUCAUCUGGCUUGUUGGAGAUGCCUGUAAUAUUAAGAUUUGUGUUGAUAACUAAGGUUUGGCAGUAGAGACUCUGGAACUGUUAGGAUCGGUUGGGUAGCACUAAUGUUAAUGCUAGGAGCCUCGACAUGAGACCAGCAUUACAUAAUAAGGAGUGCUAGAAUGACUGAAACAGUUGAGUUUUUGCACUAGAUAUGUUUUCUGUGAUUCUCAUCAUGAGACCAGAAAGUUUGUAUAAGUGGUGCGGGUUGGCCAAUAAUGUGUUAUGAUUUCAAUUUUUAUAUUCUGUAUUAUGCAAAAAUAUUUUUAAUCACAUGGUUAAUUUUGAUUUGCAUAUUGGUAGGCAUCGGUAUUAGGAUCAGGAAACAGCCAUGAUGGGCAGAAGGUAUAGAGGGAAUUAAAUAUAAUUUUUGUUGUAGUCUGAGUGUCGGGACGACACUCAAUUAAGCAGGGGAGUGUGUAACAGGUCAGAAUUGAACUGUUUUAUAGUGAAACAUAUAUAUUUAUUUCUAAUCAAUAUCUCCUCAGGAGGAAAGUAAGAAGUUUAUAUGUUAACAAACUUUGUACUUCAAAGAAGUAUGACUCACACAUAUUCUGAGUAGAAGCUAUCAAUUUGGCCAAAACAUGACAUUCCACAGCUAUGAGAGAGUUAAUGAUGUAUGGUCACUUGGUCAAAGGUUGGUAACUCGACCCCCCCCCCCCCCCCUCCCUUCCAGAACACUUGUAAUAACUUAGCCGAAUGUAAACAUUAGAUAAGAACCACCAAACUUCCAAAACAAAAGACUUCCUGUCUCCCUCCCAAUAACAAGACCCUUUACCAGAACAGGUUAUGUGUGGUAGCUAUACCACCGUGAGAGUAUAGCUGUUAUAAAAGAAGGCAGAGGUAUUUGUGAGAUUCACUCCUGUACUGCACCCCAUCCAUGGGGCAGGCAGGGAGGUCGACUCUGCAAGCUUUUGGUGUUACAUGUCAUUAGGUGUUGACAAAUUACAAUCAACAUGUAAGAAGUGGGAACGAGAAGAAACGGUCCUCUAGGCCAGAUUGCCAGGGUGAGUGGGUUAUCAUAUUCAAUGUAUAAACCACUAAUUCAAUGUAGUUUUAAUUGGGAGUUAUGUAUGAUUGUUUGACAAAGUUCACUUGAUGGUUGUAUUCAUUUAUUUGUUGGGAAAGUUAUCCAUAAAGAUGGAAGAACUUU